rnacentral:rRNA from 1 species
UGCAGUCGAACGGCAGCACGAGAGAGCUUGCUCUCUUGGUGGCGAGUGGCGGACGGGUGAGGAAUACAUCGGAAUCUACCUUUUGGUGGGGGAUAACGUAGGGAAACUUACGCUAAUACCGCAUGCGCCCUUCGGGGGAAAGCCGGGGACCUUCGGGCCUGGCGCUGAUAGAUGAGCCGAUGUCGGAUUAGCUAGUUGGUGAGGUAAUGGCUCACCAAGGCGACGAUCCGUAGCUGGUCUGAGAGGAUGAUCAGCCACACUGGAACUGAGACACGGUCCAGACUCCUACGGGAGGCAGCAGUGGGGAAUAUUGGACAAUGGGCGCAAGCCUGAUCCAGCCAUACCGCGUGGGUGAAGAAGGCCUUCGGGUUGUAAAGCCCUUUUGUUGGGAAAGAAAAGCGAUCGGUUAAUACCCGGUUGUUCUGACGGUACCCAAAGAAUAAGCACCGGCUAACUUCGUGCCAGCAGCCGCGGUAAUACGAAGGGUGCAAGCGUUACUCGGAAUUACUGGGCGUAAAGCGUGCGUAGGUGGUGGUUUAAGUCCGUUGUGAAAGCCCUGGGCUCAACCUGGGAAUUGCAGUGGAUACUGGGUCACUAGAGUGUGGUAGAGGAUAGUGGAAUUUCCGGUGUAGCAGUGAAAUGCGUAGAGAUCGGAAGGAACAUCUGUGGCGAAGGCGACUAUCU